rnacentral:tRNA from 1 species
UGGGGUGUCGUCCAAUGGCAGGGCACACGGCUCUGGACCGUGGGAUCGGGGUUCGAAUCCCUGCACCCCAG